UACAGGGGGGGCAAGCGUUGUUCGGAAUUACUGGGCGUAAAGGGUUUGUAGGUGGCUUGCUAAGUCAGACGUGAAAUCCCUCAGCUUAACUGGGGAACUGCGUCUGAUACUGGCGAGCUUGAGUGCAGGAGAGGAACGCGGAAUUCCAGGUGUAGCGGUGAAAUGCGUAGAUAUCUGGAGGAAUACCGGUGGCGAAGGCGGCAUCCUGGACCGACAUUGACGCUGAGGAGCGAAAGCUAGGGGAGCAACAGGG
rnacentral:rRNA from 1 species